GGAGCCAUAGGGAGGGAUAACAAUGCAGCCUUAGGAAAAGAAACCUGCCAUAGGAGUCUUGGAGAUUGGUGACUGUCCUAAUGACUUA
rfam:Equus caballus chromosome 16, whole genome shotgun sequence.